rnacentral:lncRNA from 1 species
UGGGGGGGGGGAACAGGGAGGGUGAAAACCACCCAGCGGAGCCGCCGGGGCGGGGAGGAAACCUGCGCCAGGAGCCACGUGCUGGAGCCGGCGCUGGGUGGGUGGCUCGGGGAGCGGUGGGGGAGGGAGAGGCCCUUGCUGGGAAAGGCCCCAGGCCACGUUUCUGGGGGAGGAGAAGAACCGCGGGUGGACACCCUGGGCCCCAGGCCACCAGGGAACCUUCACCUCCGUCUGGAUAAUGCAGCCCAGAUCUCUUUGAUGGGAGCAGCUCUGGCCAAGCCCUGCCUGCUUGGGGUUGGACCUGAAGAAAUGCACUGGCCUAACCUAAUUGCCUUUUCGGACCUCGGUGGGACGGCGCUGGGGCUGGGACGGGAGGCUCUCCCACCUCACACCCUUCAAAGGGGAUGUACGUCCAAGGGUCGAAGAAUUGGAGAGCCUAAGUAAACCCAGGGUGGUUGGCUGUCCAGGGAAGGUGGGGGGAGUCGUAGGAAGAAGAAAGGAAGCAUGCAAAAGAAGGAAGAAGCAUUUAAGCACGUGAUAAGGACAUAACUGCAGUCCUUGGAAAGGUGGAUUUCCUACUCCCUGGGAAUUUAAGCCAAAAUCCCCUCAGCAGAGAAAAUGGAUUAGCUGCAGGAAGGAAUGAGACACGUUGAGGAGUCUGGGCUGCUUCCGAGUGGAUGCUCAAGAAGGGCUAGAGACCCUUUAAGAAGCACCCACCUGCAGUGGCCUAAGUGGCACCUAGAAACUUCUGUAAACCCUUACGGUUUUUCCUGCCUAAUCAAUCAGGAAGGGAGAGGAGCCAGGAAGUCAAGGCAGCAAACCUCCACAGGUGCCUGGGUUUCCUCCCCUGCCCUCCAUCUCACCUCACUCCCCCCACCCAUGGACCCCACCCAUGACCCCCUCUCACCGCCCCCUGCAACCAGGAGCAAACACAACUGCCACUGGUGGGCCCCCUGCUGGAAUUUAUUCUCAGUCUCUUUUCCAGCUUUGCCAUGCUGUUCUUUCAAAGCCACAGCUCAACAAGUGAUGCCAGCCCAGGGAGGGGGUGUCGUCUGUGUCUCCUCUUGCAGGCGGAAGCAGCACCACAGCCGGGAGAACAAAACCCGUUUGGAUCUGUCCAGAGCUGUUUGUCAGUACUGCCUUCCAGGACCACGUGAGCUGCCUCUUGCCCCACGUGACCCUCAUUCAAACUCAGGGAGAACGAGAGCUCCCGGGCCCCUUCUCCUCGGACAGCCUAAUCCCACGUGUGCAGAUGGGUGGCUCAUUUCUGCCAGCUCAAAAUAACUCUGAGCCAGACUUCUGGGAAACCCUGUAGGCCAGGCCUCUGCAGAAGUUAAAAAUGACAGCUCCGGGGAACCAAGGGGUCUGAUUUGCUGAGGGGGAGACGAUGCUAGAGUCCUGUGACAUCAAAGGGCAGAAAUACUGGCUAGGAAUGGGUAUGGAAGGUGUUAGUAGCAGAAGGUCCUGGACCCUGUGUGGUUGCCCUUUGGGGAAACUGGUGGACUAGACUGAUGGGGGUUAUCCUGGGAGUUAAGGGCAGGUGCAGGAGGGGAGCUGUGGCCGGAUACGUAAGCCGCAAACACUGCAACCCCCAACUUCCACUUUUUUUUUUUUCUUUAAUGCAUACUGAGAACUCUCUUGGUAGGAGCUGCCUCCUCCACUGUUUCAAAUUCUGAUUUCUCACAUCUCUAUCAGAGAGACAGUUGCCACCGUCUCUGUGAAGCUCUCUCUCAUCCCACGGUGUGUGGGCCUAGGCACUUGCACUGUAACUCUUCCCAGGCUUUGCUUGGCCUGAGAGGUUUUGCUGUUUUCAACUUCCCUCUCUACCCAGAGGCCUGCUGGGAGGCCCCGAGUUUCAUCUUUGCAGCUCCCUCUUGGCACAACUCCCGGGGAAGUGAGUUAGCUGUCAGCUCUGCCCCACGCUUGCUUGGCCCGAUAGCCUCCUUUGUGUCUAACGGCACUUCCUGUUUGCUGGGUUUUGACCCAACCUGCUCUUCAAGUGACGGUUUGGCCCAGCCUUUGGAACCCUGGCUCCUUAUCCUAAUUGACUCCUGGCAGCUCUUUAUCAGGAGGGGCCUAAACGCCUUCCCUUAGCAGGUGAAACUAGGGCAGAGGGUUGAUGGACCCUAAAGUGGGCCUCACUAAAGCCAGCCUGCCCAUUGUGUGUACAUGCACACCCAGGAACACAGGUGGGCCUCACUAACGCUCACAUGCCAUGUGUAAAUCCACAUUUAUACAAAAAAUAAAUGGGGCGCAUCCCUUCA